rnacentral:rRNA from 1 species
GACGAACGCUGGCGGCGUGCUUAACACAUGCAAGUCGAGCGGUAAGGCCCUUUCGGGGGUACACGAGCGGCGAACGGGUGAGUAACACGUGGGUGACCUGCCCUCAGCUCUGGGAUAAGCCUGGGGAAACUGGGUCUAAUACUGGAUAUGACUCCACGGUGCAUGUCGUGGGGUGGAAAGCCUUGUGCGGCUGAGGAUGGGCCCGCGGCCUAUCAGCUUGUUGGU